UACGUAGGGGGCAAGCGUUGUCCGGAAUUAUUGGGCGUAAAGGGCGCGUAGGCGGAUAGUUAAGUCCGGUGUGAAAGAUCAGGGCUCAACCCUGAGAGUGCAUCGGAAACUGGUUAUCUUGAGGACAGGAGAGGAAAGUGGAAUUCCUAGUGUAGCGGUGAAAUGCGUAGAUAUUAGGAGGAACACCAGUGGCGAAGGCGACUUUCUGGACUGUAACUGACGCUGAGGCGCGAAAGCGUGGGGAGCAAACGGG
rnacentral:rRNA from 1 species